UUCCACCCCUGGAAUUCCCGGGGUCUGUUUUUUUUUUGGGGGGGGGUACUGGGGAUUGAACUCAGGGGCACUCGACCACUGAUCCCUGUCCCCAGCCCUAAUUUGCAUUUUAUUUAGAGACAGGGUCUCACUGAGUUGCUUAGCACCUCACAGUUGCUGAGGCUGGCUUUGAACUUGCCAUCCUCCUGCCUCAGCCUCCUGAGCCACUGGGAUUACAAGUGUGUGCCACCGUGCCCAGCCCCAUCUUUGAAAAAUGCCCAGGUGAAGAAAGAACUCUAGAGUGUCUCAUGUACUGCAGAGGAGAAGAUAAUUUUCAGUUGGAUGUUAAUUAUUACAUAUGAAAAAUCACAGUGAGGAUCAAGGGCCUGGCUGUGCUACUCCAGCUACCCUCCUGGCAGGCGCGUGGGUGGAGCCAACAUGGGAGCCCAGCUGGGGGAAACUGGGUAGGGGCUGUUUUUGUUUUGUUUUGUUUUAAACCUGCUACUAAAUCGGAUAGUGAAUGUGUUGGGUGCUUAGGAUCAUAAAUUAGAGGCCACUCUGAAUUGCUUAGCUCAACUGGAUAGAGCACUGUAAGCCCAGACCUUAAUGUUCUCCAACUGUGGAAACAGACAUCAGCCCUGCCUGGGGACAGGGGGUCCGGGUCCCGGGUGGAGAGUCGGGUGGAGAGUCGGCAGGCCUGCUUUCCACGGAGAGAGGUUUUGUAGGGGGUGUGGGAGCUUCAGGAGGAGCCAGCUGCCUUGAGGGAGGGGCAGGAUGUGCUCUGAGCCAGAUUUAUUUUAGCCCCACACCAUUGAGUCCCGCCCCAAUUAAACCAGUCAAAAGCUGGGAACGUUCUUGCCUACUCUGACCUUGAGGCCAAGCAUUGGCUAGAGUCGAAGGGAAAGCAGUGCCCUUCCCACGUUUUUCUGAUCUAGACGAUGUGUCUCCUCCCUCCUCUGUGCCUUUGUCUGUCAAUAUGCAAAUGGAUCAAAUAAUCCAA